rnacentral:rRNA from 1 species
AGCGAACGCUGGCGGCAGGCUUAACACAUGCAAGUCGAGCGGCACUUCGGUGUCAGCGGCAGACGGGUGAGUAACACGUGGGAACGUACCCUUCGGUUCGGAAUAACGCUGGGAAACUAGCGCUAAUACCGGAUACGCCCUUUUGGGGAAAGGUUUACUGCCGAAGGAUCGGCCCGCGUCUGAUUAGCUAGUUGGUGGGGUAAUGGCCUACCAAGGCGACGAUCAGUAGCUGGUCUGAGAGGAUGAUCAGCCACACUGGGACUGAGACACGGCCCAGACUCCUACGGGAGGCAGCAGUGGGGAAUAUUGGACAAUGGGCGCAAGCCUGAUCCAGCCAUGCCGCGUGAGUGAUGAAGGCCUUAGGGUUGUAAAGCUCUUUUGUCCGGGACGAUAAUGACGGUACCGGAAGAAUAAGCCCCGGCUAACUUCGUG